GAACAGACGAGGAGCUUGCUCCUCUGACGUUAGCGGCGGACGGGUGAGUAACACGUGGAUAACCUACCUAUAAGACUGGGAUAACUUCGGGAAACCGGAGCUAAUACCGGAUAAUAUAUUGAACCGCAUGGUUCAAUAGUGAAAGACGGUUUUGCUUGUCACUUAUAGAUGGAUCCGCGCCGCAUUAGCUAGUUGGUAAGGUAACGGCUUACCAAGGCAACGAUGCGUAGCCGACCUGAGAGGGUGAUCGGCCACACUGGAACUGAGACACGGUCCAGACUCCUACGGGAGGCAGCAGUAGGGAAUCUUCCGCAAUGGGCGAAAGCCUGACGGAGCAACGCCGCGUGAGUGAUGAAGGUCUUCGGAUCGUAAAACUCUGUUAUUAGGGAAGAACAAAUGUGUAAGUAACUAUGCACGUCUUGACGGUACCUAAUCAGAAAGCCACGGCUAACUACGUGCCAGCAGCCGCGGUAAUACGUAGGUGGCAAGCGUUAUCCGGAAUUAUUGGGCGUAAAGCGCGCGUAGGCGGUUUUUUAAGUCUGAUGUGAAAGCCCACGGCUCAACCGUGGAGGGUCAUUGGAAACUGGAAAACUUGAGUGCAGAAGAGGAAAGUGGAAUUCCAUGUGUAGCGGUGAAAUGCGCAGAGAUAUGGAGGAACACCAGUGGCGAAGGCGACUUUCUGGUCUGUAACUGACGCUGAUGUGCGAAAGCGUGGGGAUCAAACAGGAUUAGAUACCCCUGGUAGUCCACGCCGUAAACGAUGAGUGCUAAGUGUUAGGGGGUUUCCGCCCCUUAGUGCUGCAGCUAACGCAUUAAGCACUCCGCCUGGGGAGUACGACCGCAAGGUUG
rnacentral:rRNA from 1 species